GACGAACGCUGGCGGCGUGCUUAACACAUGCAAGUCGAACGGAAAGGCCCUGCUUUUGUGGGGUGCUCGAGUGGCGAACGGGUGAGUAACACGUGAGUAACCUGCCCUUGACUUUGGGAUAACUUCAGGAAACUGGGGCUAAUACCGGAUAGGAGCUCCUGCUGCAUGGUGGGGGUUGGAAAGUUUCGGCGGUUGGGGAUGGACUCGCGGCUUAUCAGCUUGUUGGUGGGGUAGUGGCUUACCAAGGCUUUGACGGGUAGCCGGCCUGAGAGGGUGACCGGCCACAAUGGGACUGAGAUACGGCCCAGACUCCUACGGGAGGCAGCAGUGGGGAAUAUUGCACAAUGGGAGGAAGCCUGAUGCAGCAACGCCGCGUGCGGGAUGACGGCCUUCGGGUUGUAAACCGCUUUCGCCUGUGACGAAGCGUGAGUGACGGUAAUGGGUAAAGAAGCACCGGCUAACUACGUG
rnacentral:rRNA from 1 species